AGCCGAAUUAAGGUGAAACCGCGAAAGGCUCAUUAAAUCAGUUAUGGUUCCUUAGAUCGUACCCACAUUUACUUGGAUAACUGUGGUAAUUCUAGAGCUAAUACAUGCAAACAGAGCUCCGACCGGAGACGGAAGGAGCGCUUUUAUUAGAUCAAAACCAAUCGGCGGCGGGCUCGCUCGUCGUCGUACCCACUGGUGAAUCUGAAUAACUUUCUGCUGAUCGCAUGGUCUAGCACCGGCGACGCAUCUUUCAAAUGUCUGCCUUAUCAACUGUCGAUGGUAGGUUCUGCGCCUACCAUGGUUGUAACGGGUAACGGGGAAUCAGGGUUCGAUUCCGGAGAGGGAGCCUGAGAAACGGCUACCACAUCCAAGGAAGGCAGCAGGCGCGCAAAUUACCCACUCCCGGCACGGGGAGGUAGUGACGAAAAAUAACGAUACGGGACUCAUCCGAGGCCCCGUAAUCGGAAUGAGUACAAUCUAAACCCUUUAACGAGGAUCAAUUGGAGGGCAAGUCUGGUGCCAGCAGCCGCGGUAAUUCCAGCUCCAAUAGCGUAUAUUAAAGUUGUUGCGGUUAAAAAGCUCGUAGUCGAAUCUGUGUCCCGCGCCGCCGGUUCAUCGCACGCGGUGUUUAACUGGCGUGUCGCGGGACGUCCUGCCGGUGGGCUUUACUCGCAAGGGUGGCCCAACUCAAUCCCACCGCGGUGCUCUUCACUGAGUGUCGAGGUGGGCCGGCACGUUUACUUUGAACAAAUUAGAGUGCUUAAAGCAGGCUAAAACUUCGCCUGAAUACCGUGUGCAUGGAAUAAUGGAAUAGGACCUCGGUUCUAUUUUGUUGGUUUUCGGAACCCCGAGGUAAUGAUUAAUAGGAACGGAUGGGGGCAUUCGUAUUGCGACGUUAGAGGUGAAAUUCUUGGAUCGUCGCAAGACGAACAGAAGCGAAAGCAUUUGCCAAAAACGUUUUCAUUGAUCAAGAACGAAAGUUAGAGGUUCGAAGGCGAUCAGAUACCGCCCUAGUUCUAACCAUAAACGAUGCCAGCUAGCGAUCCGCCGACGUUCCUUCGAUGACUCGGCGGGCAGCUUCCGGGAAACCAAAGCUUUUGGGUUCCGGGGGAAGUAUGGUUGCAAAGCUGAAACUUAAAGGAAUUGACGGAAGGGCACCACCAGGAGUGGAGCCUGCGGCUUAAUUUGACUCAACACGGGAAACCUCACCAGGCCCGGACACCGGAAGGAUUGACAGAUUGAGAGCUCUUUCUUGAUUCGGUGGGUGGUGGUGCAUGGCCGUUCUUAGUUGGUGGAGCGAUUUGUCUGGUUAAUUCCGAUAACGAACGAGACUCUAGCCUGCUAAAUAGGCGUAUUUCCGACAUCUCAAAGGCCCGCCGGUCCGACGCUCGCGUCGCGGCCGCGCGCGGUUUUUACUGUCGGCGUACACACAAUUCUUCUUAGAGGGACAGGCGGCUCUAGCCGCACGAGAUUGAGCAAUAACAGGUCUGUGAUGCCCUUAGAUGUUCUGGGCCGCACGCGCGCUACACUGAAGGAAUCAGCGUGUCCUCCCUGGCCGAGAGGCCCGGGUAACCCGCUGAACCUCCUUCGUGCUAGGGAUUGGGGCUUGCAAUUAUUCCCCAUGAACGAGGAAUUCCCAGUAAGCGCGAGUCAUAAGCUCGCGUUGAUUACGUCCCUGCCCUUUGUACACACCGCCCGUCGCUACUACCGAUUGAAUGAUGGA
rnacentral:rRNA from 1 species